CAAAAAUUAUAUUAACCUGCUUAUUUUCAGCCUGCACAGUGAGGCAACUGUCUUAAUUAAAGCCAAAGUUUUUUGAUGAGACGGUUGUAUCAAAAUUAUGUAUGUCCGUUUAAUGACUGCUGAUGGAAUUAUUCUAUGCCUGAUAUCUAUAGCUUUACAUAUCAAGACAAAACAAUCAUCUGUGCCUUAACAGGUCUUAAAAUUGGGUAAAUACAACAUCAGAUGACACAUGACAUUACACUUAGUGUCAUGUUUUAGUUAACAAAUAUAAAGCCAAAAUGGAGAACCAAUGUCCUUAUGAUUCAAUAGCUUGUUAAACUACCUUUAGCAGCAAUAACUUGAAAUAAGUUUUCUGUAUAAGAAACCUCAAUGUAAAAGUGUGCUCUGUCUUUAAG